rnacentral:rRNA from 1 species
GAUAGAGGCCAAAUCUCCUUGUCAAAGUCUAAUCUCGUCAGCUCUCAGAGGCUAAGCAGGGCUGGGCCUGGUUAGUACCUGGAUGAGACACCGCUGGGAAUACAAGAUGCCACAGUGA